rnacentral:lncRNA from 1 species
UUCAGGUUUCCUUACAUUCCAAAAAGAGAGCCCAAGUCACUAGCUUGGAGUAAUUUGAAGUUAAUCUCCCACUGAUAUCUUCAUGAGCAUCUCUGCUACACCCCUCAAGAAAAUGACCCCAACAAAGCUGUACAAACAUGGUGUGUCUGUGAUUCCAUUUCCCUCUGGACUGUGGAGCUGGAUUCAUGUCACCAGCACACCGACAAACAAAAGGAAAUCCCUUGCUGCAGGAUAUUGCAGUCACAGGUCACGAAUGUUUAAGCAGGAGUUACUGCCAUCCAGAGGAGAAAAGCCAUAAGCUGCCGUAUUUCAUUAUUUUUUAAGCAUGGAAAGGCCCAUGCGGGAUGGGAGGAGCGGAUGCAGCCAUUCCCCAUUCCCCACUCCCCAUUCCCCAUUCCCC